GAUGAAGAACGCAGUGAAAUGCGAUAAGUAAUGUGAAUUGCAGAAUUCAGUGAAUCAUCGAAUCUUUGAACGCACAUUGCGCCCGCCAGUAUUCUGGCGGGCAUGCCUGUUCGAGCGUCAUUUCAACCCUCAGGCCCCGCCUGGCGUUGGGGAUCGGCGCGGCCCUCUCCGGGCUGCCGGCCCCGAAAACUAGUGGCGGUCUCGCUGUAGUCCUCCUCUGCGCAGUAGCAACGCUCGCACUGGAACUCGGCGCGGCCACGCCGUAAAACACCCCACUUCUGAAAGUUGACCUCGGAUCAGGUAGGAAUACCCGCUGAACUUAAGCAUAUCAAUAAGCGGAGGA
rnacentral:misc_RNA from 1 species